ACGGGAGAGUAACACGUGGGAACGUGCCCUUCAGUUCGGAACAACCCAGGGAAACUUGGGCUAAUACCGGAUACGUCCGUAAGGAGAAAGAUUUAUCGCUGAAGGAUCGGCCCGCGUCUGAUUAGCUAGUUGGUGAGGUAAUGGCUCACCAAGGCGACGAUCAGUAGCUGGUCUGAGAGGAUGAUCAGCCUCACUGGGACUGAGACACGGCCCAGACUCCUACGGGAGGCAGCAGUGGGGAAUAUUGGACAAUGGGCGCAAGCCUGAUCCAGCCAUGCCGCGUGGGUGAUGAAGGCCCUAGGGUUGUAAAGCCCUUUCGGCGGGGAAGAUAAUGACGGUACCCGCAGAAGAAGCCCCGGCUAACUUCGUGCCAGCAGCCGCGG
rnacentral:rRNA from 1 species